GAUGGUGGUGAGAGAAGACAGGCAGCGGUCAGGGGUGUGGCGGGCUCUGGAAACCAUGUUAAACCAAUUAAGACUCUGUUUUAUGGACAAUUAACUGUAUGACUAAGAAGUAAGAAUGUAAAUGGAUUUGAUUAUAUUUUUACAAGAUUAUUGGGAAUACAGAAUGAGAAAUAAGUCAAAGUUGGAAAGGUGGCUCAUCUGGGUUGGACUAAAAUACUGACCCUGAGGAACAAACAGUGCACCAAUCCCAGAAGUAUUUCAGUGAGAGAACCCACAAGCCUUGGCCACUGACCAGAUAAGGGGGUGAAGAAAAGGGAGGACACAGUUCCCUGGCUUUACUUCUCAAUACCACAACCAAGGUAAGACUCUCAGGCCCAUGGAGAGCAAUCAAAACAGUCCAUAAUACAAUUCCCAUUACUUUGGAUAUUUAAUCAUAACUAAGCCCAGAUUUGGGGUUUUCAAUAUUACAUAAUGCCUUGUGGAAGCUGGAGUGCUCCAACUCUUACUGCUAAAAUAUCCUUUUGGAAAGCAAUUUCUCCUUCAAAAGCCCAGACAUCAGAACGCUGCCUCCAGCUCACAUGACAGGCCAGAGCAUCCGCCUUACCCACACUGCAUUCGCAGUCCACUGUAUGCAAGCGUGAGGUGUCUCCAGCUGUUUUUAAGAAGAGUGGAGGGUGCUUAUCUUAAAUUUUUUGUAACUAGAGAGUAUGAAUUCUUCAUUAAAAAUAAGAUAUACCGGAUGUGGGGAAGGGGUAAAAUGAGUCCAGCUGAGGUCAUCGCAGCAGACUUGUCAAGAUGGUGUUACUCUUGCUCACAGACAACCCGCACCAUAGUAAGUAAACUGUUUUCCUGAUUUCUGUGAACUAUUCUAGCAUAUUAUUGAACCCAAGGAAGGGGUUGUGGGAACCCCAAAUUUAUAACUGAUUGGCCAGAAGUACCAGCGUCUCAGAUUUUUAACUGGCAUCUAAAGUGGAGGUAGUCUUGUGGGACUGAAACUUUAACCUACGGGAUAUGAUACUAACUCCACAAGUAAACAGUAUCACAAUUGAAUUGAAUUGAAUUGAAUUGAAUUGAAUUGAGUUGAAUUAAAUUGAAUUGCCUGCUAUUGUUGGAGAAUUGCUUGGUGAGGAAAACUCACACAUUUGGUGUCAGAAGUGAAGUAUUGAGAGUAGAGGAAAAACAUGAGUUUUUAUUUUUGCAGACUCAUUCCCAUUUAUGUAUUGUCUAUGGCUACUGCUUUUAAACUACAGCAGAAGAGUCGAGAAACUGUGAAAGAAACCACAUGGCCAGCAAGGGUUAAAGAUGGAUUCUUGGCUUAAACAGAUGAGAUUGGAUGAAUUUUCUCAGUCUACAACUGCACCAUCUCCAUCUACCUUGGUGAUCUUGACAGUUUCCCAGUACUUAGAAAACCUUUCUGAUGAGAUCAGUGGUUAUAUUAAUGAACGUCAUUUUUUUUAAUAGUGUAUAAUAAAGUGUAAAGCAUGUCAACAUUGGGAAGAUCUGCAAAGCUCAGUGUUCUUGUAUUUUCCAAUGAGCAUGCUAUCACGAAAUCACACACUAAUAAAGUGCCCACUCACAGAACAAUGGAUUCUAAUGAUUUCCGGUCCCAUACUGCAAGCAACCUUCAAGUAAUGAUCCCUUCUCAAAUUCUGAAAUAUUUAUACUAGAAAACCACAAUUAUCUGACUACACUAUUAAACCGUUCCUCCCUUUUCAACUAUUUAUCAGUGUAAGGCUGAUUUUUUCAUAUACUUCAACCAAAGCAACGUGAAUUUGUUAAAUG